UCUAUUGUGAGAGUUUUUCUAUUCUCGCGCGAUUUCGCAACUUUCCCACGGCUAUUGUGGCGUCUGCCCUCUGUCCGCCUCUCCUCUCCCUUUUUUUUUUCCUACUCUCGUUUACAUCUGUUCCCGUUCUUCUGUUCGUCCCAGCGGCGGUGGGAAUGGAUUUGAGAUCUCGCGAUUGUUGGGACUUUAGAAGUUCCAGUGGAAAAUGGCGCCCGUUGUGACGGGGAAGUUUGGUGAGCAAGCUCCACCGCAGCGCCUGACGAGAGAGGCCAUGAGAAACUACCUGAAGGAGAGGGGAGACCAGACCUUACUCAUACUACACGCUAAAGUGGCACAGAAGUCUU